rnacentral:rRNA from 1 species
AUUGAACGCUGGCGGCAGGCCUAACACAUGCAAGUCGAGCGGUAACAGAUUGAUAGCUUGCUAUCAAUGCUGACGAGCGGCGGACGGGUGAGUAAUGCCUGGGAAUAUACCCUGAUGUGGGGGAUAACUAUUGGAAACGAUAGCUAAUACCGCAUAAUCUCUUCGGAGCAAAGAGGGGGACCUUCGGGCCUCUCGCGUCAGGAUUAGCCCAGGUGGGAUUAGCUAGUUGGUGGGGUAAUGGCUCACCAAGGCGACGAUCCCUAGCUGGUCUGAGAGGAUGAUCAGCCACACUGGAACUGAGACACGGUCCAGACUCCUACGGGAGGCAGCAGUGGGGAAUAUCGCACAAUGGGGGAAACCCUGAUGCAGCCAUGCCGCGUGUAUGAAGAAGGCCUUCGGGUUGUAAAGUACUUUCAGUUGUGAGGAAGGCGUUGAAGUUAAUAGCUUCAGCGCUUGACGUUAGCAACAGAAGAAGCACCGGCUAACUCCGUGCCAGCAGCCGCGGUAAUACGGAGGGUGCGAGCGUUAAUCGGAAUUACUGGGCGUAAAGCGCAUGCAGGCGGUCUGUUAAGCAAGAUGUGAAAGCCCGGGGCUCAACCUCGGAACAGCAUUUUGAACUGGCAGACUAGAGUACUGUAGAGGGGGGUAGAAUUUCA